UGGGAUUUGGGGCAAGCAAGGUAGUAGUCUGUAUUAAACGUAGGUCCUAUCUGAUAAAUUGGAGUGUCAUGUAUACACCUUGGAACAGGAUCUUGGCGACGGCUUGAAGGUAACCCGUAUUGACCAGUUUGGUCUUUCAGGUGCAUUUGUUAAUGGAAAUCUCCAUUGGAUAGCAACCAUUGGAGAAGAUUCGUCAUGGAUUUCUUGCUUUGAUGUUGAAACAGAAUGUUUUAGCUUCUUUAAAGCUCCUCCUUAUCAUGCUCGAAGAUUUCCCUUCACAAAAGGAACGUCCAUUUCUGCUUUGAGCGGUUGCCUAUGGUUUUGCAAGGUAGCAUCUGAAUUUGUAAAUUCUGGUGGGCGA
rnacentral:lncRNA from 1 species